CACGUAGUUAGCCGUGACUUUCUGGUUGAUUACCGUCAAAUAAAGGCCAGUUACUACCUCUAUCCUUCUUCACCAAUAACAGAGCUUUACGAUCCGAAAAUCUUCUUCACUCACGCGGCGUUGCUCCAUCAGACUUGCGUCCAUUGUGGAAGAUUCCCUACUGCUGCCUCCCGUAGGAGUUUGGGCCGUGUCUCAGUCCCAAUGUGGCCGAUCAGUCUCUCAACUUGGCUAUGCAUCGUCGCCUUGGUAAGCCGUUACCUUACCAACUAGCUAAUGCACCGCGGGGCCAUCCCUUAGCGACAGCUUACGCCGCCUUUCAAAAGCUGAUCAUGCGAUCUGCUUUAUUAUCCGGUAUUAGCACCUGUUUCCAAAUGGUAUCCCAGACUUAGGGGCAGGUUCCCCACGUGUUACUCACCCAUCCGCCGCUCGCUUUCCCAACGUCAUUACCGAAGUAAAUCUGUUGGUUCCGCUCGCUCGACUUGCAUGUAUUAGGCACGCCGCC
rnacentral:rRNA from 1 species